UUGUAACUUCCUCCCUCUUUCUUGGAAUGCAAAGAGGAGUGUGAGCACCACUUCUGUGGCAGAGCUGACAUGACUGUGAACUUAGAUGUUUGAUGUGUGUUGGCUCUCCUGCGCGCAGUAAUAAAUAGCUUGAUCACAGCUCUUUCUGUGUUGCAGACUUUAUUUACAAAAUUCCACAACACCCUCCCACUGUGAACCUGAAUUGAAUAUUCAGAAGAAAAUGAAUGGAUAGACUGACAUUUGUUUAAAUACUUCUAGAAAUCUGAGCUGUUGGUGUGUCCUUGGAUUGUGUGGUAAUAAUAUUAGAGCUGGCAAUCUUUCUUACUGAAUCUCUACUCUGAGUCAUGUUACCUGAGAUUAAUUCUAUGUUUACCUGACAGCCUGGACAAAUGUGCUGUGUGAAGAAUGUAAAUCAAAUCAGAUCUUAACUGCUUACAUUUAAGGAGCCUGGUCAUAUUUAAUUGUAAUAUGAACCAAUGAUUUUCUGAUUGCUGAUUCUAAGAGAGUCUUUGUGGAAAUCCUGUUUGGCUUUUUGUCAUUUUACUUCUCUUUUCCGUUUUCCAGAACAGUUCUCCACAGUCGCUGUCCACAUGGGUCAGUGGGACCAAGCAGCACUCUGCUAAUGUGUGGACUCAGACCAGCAACAUCCAGCAAGACCCAAGCAGCGUUUUCUAUCUCCCAGCUGGAGUUUUUUUGUUUGUCUGUGACUGGAGAGUCAGAUUUUUGUUGAAGCUGGAGGAACAGCCUCACACUUGCAGAGGUUAAUACAUGCUACUGAUCCCUGAUGGGAGAAUCAUCACCUCUACUAACAAAGAAGCCUGGUGGAUAUUUGUUUACAGUCUGAUGAUGGGACCUCAUGCUCUGCAUCUUCAAAGUUUGUCUCUUGAUUAUUAUUCAUACACAGUAAUGUGAAUUAUGCUUAUAUCUAGUAUAACUGGACCAACGUGGUGCUCUUCAUUUAUGGAGGCUGCAGAGUCUGAAUGUUGGAUGUUGUGUACCUCGUGUUCUCUGGGCUUUGUUGUCCUCAGUCUUUUUGCAGGAUCAGAAAACAAAACCAGGAUGACCAUAAAUGUUUCUUCUCCAAUUGGAUGAUGAUAAGACUGUGACACGGGAUGCCACCUUUAGUCUUGUGAUGAAGCAAAGCUCAGGAAGAAGUGUGAUUAAAUGGUACCCACGUGUGUGCUGCUGAGAAGGAUGUACAGGGGCACCUGCAGCCAAAUCCAAGCCUCCUCAGCAACUUCAAGUCUGUCAGCGUGCUGAGGUCACAGAAACAAGAAAAGAAGCUUCAGACUUCAGAGUGUUGUUUACAGUUUUCUGUCAUCAUGAUCUCCCCUGAAGUUUAUCACUAUUAUACAAGCAAGCAGAGCGGCAGUUUGUGCUCACAGAUGGUGACGGUGUGGAGAGACGGUGGUGUUUCCUCAGAAGAACUAGCAGAGUCACAAAGGACACCAGUCCAUCUCACCACCUUGACUUGUUGAUCAGUGGAUACACUUGUCUCCCCUUUAAAGGAGAUACUCUUAGAGAGAGACGAUCCGAGUCAUCCUUAAAUAUGGGCAGGAUAUCAGUCUUGGACUGUCUAACCUGCCGGAGCAGCACUGAAUGAUCACCACACAUGAUCAGUUCCUGCAACAUUCAGCAGCUUUGCUUUUGUGUCAAAUGUCAAACAGCUGGAGAGGAAACUACACCAGUGUACUGGGAUGUUUCACCAACACGUGCCAGACGCUGUUCCUUCAUGGUGACAUCACCAGAGACGGCCCCGCCCACCUCAGGACCUCGCCAUUGAUCAUGAUGAUUUUAAUGAUGACAGCGAGCGGAACUAAAACUGUAAAAAUCAGAAUGUUUAGAUGCUUUCUAAUUAUUAAUGAAUACUGAGAGCCUCUUUCUGUGUUUUGUGUGUUUUGGGUUUUUUUUUUUACCUCAUUUGUUACUAACAAAGUUCACCAAACUCACACAGUUUACAUUCUGUAUGUUUCCAUCUUUACCAGCCACACUCUACCCGCAAUUAAGCAAAUAAUCCUUAGAAAUUGUCGUUUUUCUCUUUUGUAAUUUUGUAAUUCAGUGAAUAUACUGCGCUGCUUCCUUUAAUUGCGUCUCACAUUGCUUUAAGUUUUUCCAGUGUCCAGUUAUUUUUUACUGUUGUUUGAAUUCUCUGUAUGUUUGACCCUGUAGACUGUUUGAUGGACUGCUUGUCUUCCUGUUUGUAACCGCUGCCUGUUUUUGACUAAAGAUUUGGA